UCGGACCGAACCAAAGCUAGGUAGUUGUUACGUCAAGCCAAACUUCGUCGGCAUAACCAUCUAAUUAAAUUGUCGGGGUUCGUUAUGAGAGCUGACAAACGCCCCCCCCACCAACUAAAUCAGGCGCGAAAAGAACAUUAGGUCAGAGAAAAAUGGAAAGUUACGAAAUAUAUAACCAUUUUAUUUUUCUUUAAAAAUCUCAUUUGGCUUCCGUCCGAGAAAGUAAUCUGCAAGUUAAUGCUACCAUUGGGAGUGUUCUUGGUUUGGACAGUUGAUGGCGGUAGCAGAUGAAGAGCUCUCACCAGUGGAUUUCAAAGUGACUGAAAUAAAUUGGAUGCAAUAUUCUAUUUCGGACGCUACUUUUUACUUCAUAUGAAAUGAACUCUAGAGGACUUGAAAUUUUUACGAAAAGUUGGUUUCCAGUCACCU